CAGCAGCCGCGGGAAUACGGAGGGUGCAAGCGUUAAUCGGAAUUACUGGGCGUAAAGCGCACGCAGGCGGUCUGACAAGUCAGAUGUGAAAUCCCCGGGCUUAACCUGGGAACUGCAUUUGAAACUGUCAGGCUGGAGUCUUGUAGAGGGGGGUGGAAUUCCAGGUGUAGCGGUGAAAUGCGUAGAGAUCUGGAGGAAUACCGGUGGCGAAGGCGGCCCCCUGGACAAAGACUGACGCUCAGGUGCGAAAGCGUGGGGAGCAAACAGGAUUAGAUACCCGAGUAGUCCUGUCUCUUAUACA
rnacentral:rRNA from 1 species